GGGUUGUGAGGUUAAGCGACUAAGCGUACACGGUGGAUGCCCUGGCAGUCAGAGGCGAUGAAGGACGUGCUAAUCUGCGAAAAGCGACGGCGAGGUGAUAUGAACCCUUGACCCGUCGAUGUCCGAAUGGGGAAACCCAGUGCAAUCCGUUGCACUAUCGUUAGCUGAAUACAUAGGCUAACGAGGCGAACCGGGGGAACUGAAACAUCUAAGUACCCCGAGGAAAAGAAAUCAACCGAGAUUCCCCCAGUAGCGGCGAGCGAACGGGGAGCAGCCCGGAGUCUGAAUCAGCUUGUGUGUUAGUGGAACGGUCUGGAAAGUCCGACGGUACAGGGUGAUAGUCCCGUACACGAAAGCACACUUGCUGUGAACUCGAAGAGUAGGGCGGGACACGUGGUAUCCUGUCUGAAUAUGGGGGGACCAUCCUCCAAGGCUAAAUACUCCUGACUGACCGAUAGUGAACCAGUACCGUGAGGGAAAGGCGAAAAGAACCCCGGCGAGGGGAGUGAAAAAGAACCUGAAACCGUGUACGUACAAGCAGUGGGAGCCUCUUUAUGGGGUGACUGCGUACCUUUUGUAUAAUGGGUCAGCGACUUAUAUUCUGUAGCAAGGUUAACCGUAUAGGGGAGCCGAAGGGAAACCGAGUCUUAACUGGGCGUUAAGUUGCAGGGUAUAGACCCGAAACCCGGUGAUCUAGCCAUGGGCAGGUUGAAGGUUGGGUAACACUAACUGGAGGACCGAACCGACUAAUGUUGAAAAAUUAGCGGAUGACCUGUGGCUGGGGGUGAAAGGCCAAUCAAACCGGGAGAUAGCUGGUUCUCCCCGAAAGCUAUUUAGGUAGCGCCUCGUGAACUCAUCUUCGGGGGUAGAGCACUGUUUCGGCUAGGGGGCCAUCCCGGCUUACCAACCCGAUGCAAACUACGAAUACCGAAGAAUGUUAUCACGGGAGACACACGGCGGGUGCUAACGUCCGUCGUGAAGAGGGAAACAACCCAGACCGCCAGCUAAGGUCCCAAAGUCAUGGUUAAGUGGGAAACGAUGUGGGAAGGCACAGACAGCCAGGAUGUUGGCUUAGAAGCAGCCAUCAUUUAAAGAAAGCGUAAUAGCUCACUGGUCGAGUCGGCCUGCGCGGAAGAUGUAACGGGGCUAAACCAUGCACCGAAGCUGCGGCAGCGACACUAUGUGUUGUUGGGUAGGGGAGCGUUCUGUAAGCCGUUGAAGGUGUGCUGUGAGGCAUGCUGGAGGUAUCAGAAGUGCGAAUGCUGACAUAAGUAACGAUAAAGCGGGUGAAAAGCCCGCUCGCCGGAAGACCAAGGGUUCCUGUCCAACGUUAAUCGGGGCAGGGUGAGUCGACCCCUAAGGCGAGGCCGAAAGGCGUAGUCGAUGGGAAACAGGUUAAUAUUCCUGUACUUGGUGUUACUGCGAAGGGGGGACGGAGAAGGCUAUGUUAGCCGGGCGACGGUUGUCCCGGUUUAAGCAUGUAGGCGGAGGUUCCAGGUAAAUCCGGUACCUUUUUAACGCUGAGGUGUGAUGACGAGGCACUACGGUGCUGAAGUAACAAAUGCCCUGCUUCCAGGAAAAGCCUCUAAGCAUCAGGUAACACGAAAUCGUACCCCAAACCGACACAGGUGGUCAGGUAGAGAAUACCAAGGCGCUUGAGAGAACUCGGGUGAAGGAACUAGGCAAAAUGGUGCCGUAACUUCGGGAGAAGGCACGCUGAUAUGUAGGUGAAGCCCCUGCGGGUGGAGCUGAAAUCAGUCGAAGAUACCAGCUGGCUGCAACUGUUUAUUAAAAACACAGCACUGUGCAAACACGAAAGUGGACGUAUACGGUGUGACGCCUGCCCGGUGCCGGAAGGUUAAUUGAUGGGGUUAGCGGCAACGCGAAGCUCUUGAUCGAAGCCCCGGUAAACGGCGGCCGUAACUAUAACGGUCCUAAGGUAGCGAAAUUCCUUGUCGGGUAAGUUCCGACCUGCACGAAUGGCGUAAUGAUGGCCAGGCUGUCUCCACCCGAGACUCAGUGAAAUUGAACUCGCUGUGAAGAUGCAGUGUACCCGCGGCAAGACGGAAAGACCCCGUGAACCUUUACUAUAGCUUGACACUGAACACUGGUCCUUGAUGUGUAGGAUAGGUGGGAGGCUUUGAAGCGUGGACGCCAGUCUGCGUGGAGCCAACCUUGAAAUACCACCCUUUAAUGGCUGGUGUUCUAACGUAGACCCGUAAUCCGGGUUGCGGACAGUGUCUGGUGGGUAGUUUGACUGGGGCGGUCUCCUCCCAAAGAGUAACGGAGGAGCACGAAGGUUGGCUAAUCCUGGUCGGACAUCAGGAGGUUAGUGCAAUGGCAUAAGCCAGCUUGACUGCGAGCGUGACGGCGCGAGCAGGUGCGAAAGCAGGUCAUAGUGAUCCGGUGGUUCUGAAUGGAAGGGCCAUCGCUCAACGGAUAAAAGGUACUCCGGGGAUAACAGGCUGAUACCGCCCAAGAGUUCAUAUCGACGGCGGUGUUUGGCACCUCGAUGUCGGCUCAUCACAUCCUGGGGCUGAAGUAGGUCCCAAGGGUAUGGCUGUUCGCCAUUUAAAGUGGUACGCGAGCUGGGUUUAGAACGUCGUGAGACAGUUCGGUCCCUAUCUGCCGUGGGCGCUGGAGAAUUGAGGGGGGCUGCUCCUAGUACGAGAGGACCGGAGUGGACGCAUCACUGGUGUUCGGGUUGUCAUGCCAAUGGCACUGCCCGGUAGCUAAAUGCGGAAGAGAUAAGUGCUGAAAGCAUCUAAGCACGAAACUUGCCCCGAGAUGAGUUCUCCCUGAGACUUUAAGUCUCCUGAAGGAACGUUGAAGACGACGACGUUGAUAGGUCGGGUGUGUAAGCGCAGCGAUGCGUUGAGCUAACCGAUACUAAUGAACCGUGAGGCUUAACCUUACAACGCCGAAG
rnacentral:rRNA from 1 species